UACGGAAGGUGCAAGCGUCGUCCGGAUUGACUGGGUGUAAAGGGCGCGUAGGCGGAGAUGUGUGUCGGGAGUGAAAUCGUGCGGCUUAACCGUACAAUUGCUUUCGAAACUACAUCCCUUGAGUACAGAAGGGGUAGAUGGAAUACCUGGUGUAGCGGUGGAAUGCGUAGAUAUCAGGUAGAACACCGGAGGCGAAGGCGGUCUACUGGUCUGUAACUGACGCUGAGGCGCGAAAGUGUGGGGAGCAAACAGG
rnacentral:rRNA from 1 species